rnacentral:rRNA from 1 species
GACGAACGCUGGCGGCGUGCUUAACACAUGCAAGUCGAACGGAAAGGCCCUGCUUUUGUGGGGUGCUCGAGUGGCGAACGGGUGAGUAACACGUGAGUAACCUGCCCUUGACUUUGGGAUAACUUCAGGAAACUGGGGCUAAUACCGGAUAGGAGCUCCUGCUGCAUGGUGGGGGUUGGAAAGUUUCGGCGGUUGGGGAUUGACUCGCGGCUUAUCAGCUUGUUGGUGGGGUAGUGGCUUACCAAGGCUUUGACGGGUAGCCGGCCUGAGAGGGUGACCGGCCCCAUUGGGAACGGGAUAAGGCCCCGGCUUCUUCGGGAGGCCGGAGUUGGGAAUAAUGCACAAUGGGGCGAAGCCGGCUGCAGGAAAGGCGCGUGCGGGAUGACGGCCUUCGGGUUGUAAACCGCUUUCGCCUGUGACGAAGCGUGAGUGACGGUAAUGGGUAAAGAAGCACCGGCUAACUACGU